CGCCCCUGCACACGCCGCCUGCGCCCUCCGCCGCCCGCAGGGAGCCCUCGGUGCACGCCCCGGCGCGGGAGCGGGAGCGGGAGCGGGAGCCGCAGCCGGAGCCGGAGCCGGAGCCGGAGAGCGCGCAGGGCCGCGGGCAGCGUCGACGCGCACAAGCCCCGCUCGCCCGCGAACAAACUUUUCCGCCUCCUCCCCUCGGCGCUGCGCGAAGCCCCGGCGCGGCGGGCCGGGGGGCGGGGCGGGGCCGGGGCGGGCCGGGGGGCGGGGCCGGGGCGGGGCAGGGGCGGGGCCGGGGUCGCCCCGCCCCCGGGGAGGCCGGGCUCGGAGCCCCGGCGGCCGCGCAGGGGGGAGCGGAGCCGAGCGCGGCCGCCCCGAGGGUCCCGUCCCCGCCCCCCGGGCCGCCGUCGCCGCCGCCGCCGCGUCCUGGGAAGCCGACAGCAGACGCAGCUAAGCGAGGAGGCGGGUGUGCGCGCAGCCGGGCCCGUCCUGGGGCGGCCUUCGGGGUGGGAGGCGCGGGGCGCGCGGGAGGCAAGUCCAGUGAGCGCUGCUAUCGGGGAGCCUUUGAAUUCCAAAUUAAAAAGAAAAAGAAAAUCAGACGUGAUCCUACCCUCCACAGAUGAAACAGUGGUUUCAGUGAAAGUUCUAACAUGCUUACUGGUCUUUUUUUUUUUUUGGCCAUAUAUAUCAGCUCAAGAAAUAAAAACAAUUAAAGGUGAUCGGGGCCACAGCAGAUUGGAAACCCCAGAGUUCAUCAGUGAACACCCUGCUCCUCCAGGAUCAAGCACAUCUCCUCUCUGGUUAUUUGCCUUGCAUGGAGAACUGCAUGGACCCCUGAACUGGAAGAACUGGGCUGGUGAACAGAGGACAGAUCAGGGUGGGUAUUCAGGAUUAAGAUGGUGAGCUCUGCAAGCCCAGGACCUCACUGUCUCUUGACUGAACUGCUGCAAAAGUCUCCAUGCUUCCCUUCCUGUCUCUGCAGUUCAGCCAGCCACCAGUGGUAGACUGAUCCUUCACACUGAAAGUCCACUUAAAGCCCUUCAUGUCUCCUGUCACCACCAUGGGAAAGUGCAAAAUCUUAAGCAUGACCUACAAAUGUCAACCAUCUUACAAGCAACUUUUUCUCAGAAGGGUCUUCUUUAUGCUCUGGUCAGAGGAAUUAGAAGUGUCAGGUAGCCUUCUGCCCCAGGGACCGGGAGAGAGGACACAAGACUUGCUUAAGAGGAAUGUGUCUGAUACAUGGAAGCAUUGGGAGUAGAGGAAGACGUGUAAAACCGAGGCUACUAUCAAGGAGGGAUUGAGAACUGGAGCGGACAAAGAAGAAACACUAUUUGUUGAGACUUGAUGGGUGCAAGGCCUGGCUACGUGCUUUACGUGCAUGGUGUCAUCUGAGAAUGCUCAGCAUAGUCUGUGAGGUGAGUGUGAUGAUCGCAUGGAUGAGGAAACUGACGUUAAGGUUGAGUUGCCAGGGUCGCACAGCUUGUGAGCCUCAGGGUUGGGGUUUGCAAAUGGAUUCCAAAGCCAGUGUUUUUCCCACUCAUUACACCAUUGCUGUUGGAUCACCCAGUUGCUUCAAGACACCACGUAUAUACCCAAAAUGAUGGGCAAAUUGAAUCCCAGGGUAAGUCACCUUCAGCUUAGGGGAAUCACCUUUGAAUCAAACCAUCUCACUUUCUCCUAGGAGUUGAGAUGGUUCCUGUGGGGGUUGAGUGACUCUAUCUACAUAUAUCUUCCUUCACAACUAUAUUCUAGAGAUCUGAGACCAUAUUAGUAAUUUACCAUUAGAGACAAAUCUGAUUUUCAUAUAUCUGUAUACAUAAAUUCUUUCAGCAGGGCUGCUGUGAAGUAUCAUUUUCUCAAAAGCAAAAUUUAGCAAUCCCCGAGUACAAUGACACAGUAUUUCCAUGACUUUUAGAAGUACCUGGGUACAUUGUACUUUUGGUUUUUAUUAGCUCGUACAUAUAAAUAUUUUAAAAGUUUCACUUGAGUGAGGCAGGUAACCACUUGGAGGCUUGCCUGGCAGCUGCUUACCACCAGCCAACAAAUUUCUCAUGCCAAAAGCUUCUUCUUUUGGCAAAGGAGCAGAUGAGCAUCCAGAUGAUAGCCACGUGUGAGAGGUGGCGUGUCAGCCUCCAUCAGAGUUCCUCAGAAGCUAAUGCAUAAUUCUAUUUUUAUUUGUUGCUUUCUCUCCGCAUGGUUAAAAAAAAAAUCUGUUUAAAGAUGUAACAAAGACUUAGGACCCUUUUAGAUCAGUUCUUUGACUCAAAUGGAAACUAGCAAUGGCUGUUUUUUUCUUAGCAUUGUUUCCUGAAUCCUUAAGCUGGCAACUCUGAAUAUUUAUUUGCACAAGCUACUACUUUGUAUCUCCUUAUUGAGAGUUUUCAUUACGGUGCUCUUGAUUAUAUUUUCUUUCCAAUAAAUCAGAAUUCGGCAAAUAAAAUAUUUCACAUCUGAUUAAAUGUGAGACGAGAGGCAAGGUGUGGCUGUUCAGGAAGCAAGUGUAGGCAUGCAGCUGGUGCAGAGGGAAGCCACAGUGGAUGGGUACAUGGUUUUUAUUCCUGGACCUUACCUCUCCCUCUCAACUCAGGUACUGUGAGAACUUCUAGCUCACUACAGAUGGGGGCCAAAAGCAGGGCUUCUCUGGGAUGGGUGAGAACAGUUAGGUGGAAACGGGCUCUGUUGCAUAAAUCAGAUAGCACUCAUGCCCUCAAUACUAAAGCGUGUGAUAUUCUCUGGGCGAGUGCGUGUUGUAGGAGCAGGGGAGGGAGGGAGAGAAGUAUAGAUCCGAGUGGAGUUCCAUUUCUGCUCUUUUCUAGUAUAUGACCUUGGCCAAGCUUUUAACCUCUCCAGUCUUAGUUUCCUUAUCCAUCAUUGCAGAUCAUAAUACCUUUCCUAGGAUUGCUGUAAAGAAUAAACUAAAGCAGGUAUAUUAGGGCUGCUGCAGCAAAUUACCAUAAACUAGGUGGCUUAAAACAGUGGGAACGUAUUCUCUCACAGAUCUGGUGGCUGGACACCCAAAGCGAAGGUGCUCACAGAACCACGCUGCUUCUGAAGGCUCUAGGAAAGAAUCUUUCCUUGCCUCGUCUGGCUUCUGGUGGUUGGUGACCAGCAAUCCUUGGCAUUCCUUAACUUGUGGUUAUGUAACAUCAAUCUUUGCCUGUCUUCACAUGGCUUUCUUCCCUCUGUAUCUGUGUUUCUCAAAUUUUUCUCUCCUUAUAAGGACACGGGUCAUUGGAUUUAGAGCUCACCCUAAUCCAGUAUGACCUCAUCUUAACUUGAAUAUGUCUGUAAAGUCCUUAUUUGCAAAUAAAUCGCAAUCAUGGGUACUGGGAACUAGAACUUCAACAAAGCUUUUUGGGGGAUCCAGUGUGACCCACAACAGUAUUUACAAUGUUUAGUCCUCUGACCCUGUAUAUGCACAUUUGGAAGCCUGCUACAGUUUCAAUUUCAGGUAUGUGAAGCUUAUCUUGCUACUGGAGAACUUCCCUUACAUCCUGUGGAAGUCUUUUUUUUUUUUGAGUUUCAGUUUAUUUCUAUUUUCCUUAACUUACAUUCCAUAGUUUAUAGACCCAUAUGUUCCUACUUUUGAAACUUCAAGGUCACUGAGUGCAGCUACCCCAUUCAGCCAGUUUAGGAAUAGAUCUCUGACAAGUUGUUGUCUAGCUCCUGCUGAUAUAGCUCCAGGACAGGAUUCUCAGAAUCAUGCAAAGGGCCUAUUUCACCUUGCGAUUAUCAGCAAGUUCUUCUAUGCCAAAGGGUUAGUCCCCAGUCCUAGGUCUAGAUCUGGGAGGAAUAUGAUAGCAGGUCUAAUUCCUCUUCCUUAUCUCAGCCUUUCACAGAGUCCACGCCAGGGAUGAGACACAUCUUACCCCUCAUUUUUUUCCCCACUAACCAGUCCUGCUGCAGCUAAUAUCACGAGAUCCUCAACAUUUUGGUGAUGCUCUUAUUAAUACCCUUCAAUUUGUUUAUGACAAAUAGGGUUGUUUUCCUUGUCAGAACAAAUAGUGGAGUUGAAUCCCUUGGAGGUUUAGCUCUGAAGCUGGGUAAUGAAACGGGCUCUGGGUCCAAUGCCAAGGGAGAAUGAAUCUGAAGCCGAGCUCCCCAGGUUAGCUAGUGGGCCCAAGGAGGGGACUGGCGGGUGCUGGUGACUCCAACAGUAUUUGUAGUAUGACGUGUAUUUCCAGUAAUGAAAAAAAAGAUGCAUAUGUACUUUAUAUAAAUAAAUAAUUGGCUGCUGUGAGCGAGUUAUUUUAACUCUUUGGAAAUGGGACAAUCAUAACAGACAAUCCAUUUAGACUCCUAGGGACUACAUUUCUUCAACUGUUAAGUAAUAGAGGAGGCAGAAACUGUUUUCUAUUUAAAUUAAUCUACACAUUUUUUGUUUGCUAUUAUUGUCUAGUAACAAAUUAUGUUUCCGAGUGUUAUGUUUUUAUCUACUUAUUAGCAAGUUUCUACCAACAUCCAGCAAACUGAUGCAUGAACUCAUCGGUAUCGUUUCCAUGCAUAUUGAUAUCGUAAUAUACUUAAUGAAAGCCUGCUGUAUGCCUGUCAUUAUGAAGUUCACAAUCAGCAUAGGAGGCAUGUAUAACCAGGGUUUCAUUUUUUUAAAGAUUUUAUUUAUUUGAGAGAGUGAGAGAGAGAGAGAGGACACGGGGGGGGGGGGGGGGGGGGAGAAGCAGGACUCUGAGAUCAUGACCUGAGCUGAAGGCGACUCUUAACCACUGAGUUACCUGGGCAUCCCUCAGGGUUAUAAUACAUAUACACACAAACAUAAAAUGCAGCUCACAAGGAUAGAGAGCAUUAAAAAAACUAGGACUGUUUGCAUCUGUUCUACGUAAAAUUAUCUUGGCUAAUUUGAAGAUCAAAUAAUACACUAUAUGAAAAUAACCUUAGCAAGUGAUAGCAGACACUUAAUGAGAAUCACUGUGUGCCAUCCUCUGUUCUACAAGCUUUACAUAUGCUCACUAAUUUAUAUGUCUUUGCAAAAACUCUGUGUG
rnacentral:lncRNA from 1 species